rnacentral:rRNA from 1 species
UACGAAGGGGGCUAGCGUUGCUCGGAAUUACUGGGCGUAAAGCGCACGUAGGCGGAUUGUUAAGUCGGGGUGAAAUCCUGGAGCUCAACUCCAGAACUGCCUUCGAUACUGGCGAUCUCGAGUUCGGGAGAGGUGAGUGGAACUGCGAGUGUAGAGGUAAAAUUCGUAGAUAUUCGCAAGAACACCAGUGGCGAAGGCGGCUCACUGGCCCGAUACUGACGCUGAGGUGCGAAAGCGUGGGGAGCAAACAGG